AGUGAACGCUGGCGGUAGGCCUAACACAUGCGAGUCAAACGGCAGCACAGUAAGAGCUUGCUCUUACGGGUGGCGAGUGGCGGACGGGUGAGGAAUACAUCGGAAUCUACUUUUUCGUGGGGGAUAACGUAGGGAAACUUACGCUAAUACCGCAUACGACCUACGGGUGAAAGCAGGGGAUCUUCGGACCUUGCGCGAUUGAAUGAGCCGAUGUCGGAUUAGCUAGUUGGCGGGGUAAAGGCCCACCAAGGCGACGAUCCGUAGCUGGUCUGAGAGGAUGAUCAGCCACACUGGAACUGAGACACGGUCCAGACUCCUACGGGAGGCAGCAGUGGGGAAUAUUGGACAAUGGGCGCAAGCCUGAUCCAGCCAUACCGCGUGGGUGAAGAAGGCCUUCGGGUUGUAAAGCCCUUUUGUUGGGAAAGAAAAGCAGCAGGUUAAUACCCCGCUGUUCUGACGGUACCCAAAGAAUAAGCACCGGCUAACUUCGUG
rnacentral:rRNA from 1 species